rfam:Aedes aegypti strain Liverpool supercont1.78 genomic scaffold, whole genome shotgun sequence.
UGUCCAGUAACUCCUAUCCCUACCUCCCCGUGGUGCCGCCUAGGGUACGAGUAACCAUAGGGAAGAUCGGGUAACCAACCCUGGUGAGACCUUGGUCGUAUGCUGACAGGGAAGG